AGAGAAAGAAGCUAAACAAGAAAUAAUCAGAUGAAGACAAUGAAAUGGAUGAAGACUAAAGAUUGGGGGGGACAACACAAACAGUUACCCUCGGUACAUUUAACAUUGAGCCCAGCAGGCGACAACAAUGGUGUCAGCAAGACUCUUCUCGGUCUGAACGUUGCUAGAUUUCUCUUUGGCUGAUUUCAGUGUGCUUGGGCAGCACAAAGUUAAAACAAUUGGGAGGGUUUUUUUUUUCCUUUUUUCCAUUGUGCCCAGCAGGUCUCAACUCAUAUAAAGACACAAAGGUUGCAGGUGCUUCAUGGUACUGCACAGCUCUUAUAUUGACAAACUGCUGCUUGAUUGUCAAGAAUGGGAAGCUGGAGUCUUAAGCAUGCUAAAUCCUUUGCUAUGAUGGUACUUCGGUGAGGAGUGUUUCUUUUCAAGGUUUCCCAAGGGGACGCUACUGAGAAGCUGGCUCACCAAGUCGCGGCCCAGGUUGCUGCUACUGAUCGCAGGCUUGAAGAGGCCUCAGGUGACCCUCAUGAGGCGGAAAAGGAUGAAGCGCACAAAAGUAGCAAAGGCCACGUAAGCGAACCUGCAGCCGAAUGCCCCACUUCACCUCAGUCCUUAAAGGAUAGGAUGUACUUCCUGGAUACGGAAGAGAAAGAAAAAGAAGACUUGUGUGUUGGAUCUUUGCCCCAGCAACGAACUAAUAUCAGAGAACCACAAAACAGAAUGAAGCUAGAGGAUAAACCACACAGACUGAAACCUCCGGACUAAUCAUUAUUAGACCCAGACCUGGACUACCAACUUCACCUGUUUCUUCAAAUAUGCAUCUGUUUUGGCUCAUUAGACGCUAAUGGUGGUAGCUUCUAAAUUAUUCUACAUUAUUCCUGUCCAGAGAAUAACUCUUAGUAGACCAAAUACAGCUGACAUUGUGUUCAUACCCUGCUGUCUAAACUUUUUGAUGGGCAUCAACUCUUGCUUCACAUUCUUAUGUCAGAUUAAAACUUUUCAAUUAGCUCAUUUCCACAAAGUACGGAGCCCUACAAACCAAGAAAAUGUGAACAUCAGCACAUUCAUAUAUAGGUGAUUUACAAAUUUCUCAGUUUCUAGACUGAGAAACAGGAGCAAAAUACAUAUACUAGUCAUAUCUAUAAUCACAACAUUGCAAAUAAUAGUAAAGCAAAUAAUACAGUUGCUUUAUUACUUGUGCUGUCGUUGCAAGACACGCACUCAAGUAACAUUAAGUUGUUACCUGACUAUUAGAGGAACAUUUGCAGACUACAUCCUAUAGGUUUUAGGUCAAUUUUGGAGGACAACUCUUUUUCAUAUUUCCAUAGAAAAAGUUUUGGAACCUUACACAAGCACCUUGAGGCAACUUGCUGUGAUUUGGUACUAUAUGGAAUAAAAUGGAAUUGAAUUGAAUUACUUUUCCUGACAUAAUAAAAUCCUCUCACAACAUCAGAAAAUUAAAGUUUGUGAGGUUCUCUGCUUGGGUAAUAAGUUUACAGUCCCUAUUGUAACAACAGAUCCAUUGAGAAAUAAAAUAUCAUACGGUAGAAGGUAUGAGCUCUGAGAAAUGGUCUUACUGAUGUGUGGUGUAGUGAUGUGCUUACUUUGAAAAAAAAUUCAGUAAAUGGGUUUUUUAAAAAAGGAUAUGUGCUUCAAUGCAACAUAUCUAGGACUGCUUUCUUCCAUUUGUGCAAUAUCUCUCAAAUUUGAAAUGAAGCUGAAAAAAUAGUUCAUGCAUUUAUUACUUCUGGGCUGGAAUUCUGGAAUGUGUUAUUAUGUCCUUAAAAUGUAUUGAAAAGCCUUUAGUUGAUCCAAAUUCUGGAGCAAGACUACUGACAGGCUAAAAAGACAGAGCAGGAAAAAAUACAGAAAUGAACUUAAAAUCCUGCUCCUCACAUAGAAGCUGGUGAAUAAUCAGGCCUUAUCUUGUCAUAAUAGCCUUAUAGUGCAAUAUCACCCCAUUAGAGCACUUCCCUCUCUGACUGCAGGCUUACUAGUAGUUCCUUGAGUAUAUAAAAGUAGAAAUUGAAUGGGAGAAAGUAGAAUGGGAGGCAGAGCCUUCAGCUUUAAGGGCCCUCUUCUAUUGAACCAGCUUUCCAGUUAGGAUAUAGAACACCCUCUAUACUUUUAAGAUUAGGCUUAAAACUUUCCUUUUUGAUUAACCAUAUAGUUAGGGCUGGAUCAGGUGACCCUGAAUCCUCACUCAGUUACUCUGGAAUACGUGUGCUGGUGGAUUCCCCAUGCUGGGGAUGCAUUAAGUGUUUUUUCUUCAGUCCUCUUUUUCACCUCACUAUGUGUGCCAUUAUUAGUUAUUAUGAAUUUCUGUCUCUCUUCCACAGCAUGUCUUUUGUCCUGUUUUUCUCCUCUCCCCAAGCAGCCACAUCAGACAGCCACCCCUCCUUCAGCCGGGUUCUGCAGGAGGUCGCCAAAGUAUUUGCUCAUAGAGGGUCAUUAGAUCGUUAAGAUUUUCUCUGUUUCUUUGUGUUAUUGUAGGGUCUUUACCUUACAUUAUAAAGCACCUUGAGGCAGCCGUUGUUGUGAUGUGGUGCUGCAUAAAUAUAAUCAAAUUGAAUUGUAUUGAAAAGGAGAUAGAAGAAACAUUGUGGGCAAAUAGGUUUUCAAGUAGUUUGAACUAAGAGUGAUGUCUCAUUUCCUUCUAAUCUGAUACCAAGUAACUUAAUGUGCUUUGAAAAUCAAAAUAAAAAAGUGUAUUUCAAAUUAUACCUUGAAUAAAAGACAUCAUACUACCUUUUCUUAUUUUUUAAUUAUGAAAAAUUAUCAUACAAGAAAUAAAAAAUCUGAAAAGUCAAUGGUUAUAUUUAAAAAUAUUUAAUUAACAAUCACUCAAAACACAUGUGACUGACUGAAAAUAAUAAUAAAGCUGGGAAACAUUUUAUAAAUACAUGUUAUCAUCUUACUAUCCUUACCUAAACCUUGUUUUACCCCAUGUACGUUGUAUUUUUUAACGACACCUAGCCUAUAAAAUCC
ensembl:lncRNA